rnacentral:rRNA from 1 species
UAGGGAAUCUUGCGCAAUGGGCGAAAGCCUGACGCAGCGACGCCGCGUGAGUGAUGAAGGCCCUCGGGUUGUAAAGCUCUGUGGGGAGAGAAGAAUAAGUGCAAGCUAAUACUUUGCAUGAUGACGGUAUCUCCUUAGCAAGCACCGGCUAACUCUGUGCCAGCAGCCGCGGUAAGACAGAGGGUGCAAACGUUGUUCGGAAUCACUGGGCGUAAAGCGCGUGUAGGCGGCUUCUCAAGUCGGGUGUGAAAUCCCAGGGCUCAACCCUGGAAGUGCAUUCGAAACUGGGUAGCUAGAGUACUGGAGAGGAAGGUGGAAUGCUUGGUGUAGAGGUGAAAUUCGUAGAUAUCAAGCGGAACACCGGUGGCGAAGGCGGCCUUCUGGACAGAUACUGACGCUG